UUGGAGGGCAAGUCUGGUGCCAGCAGCCGCGGUAAUUCCAGCUCCAAUAGCGUAUAUUAAAGUUGUUGCAGUUAAAAAGCUCGUAGUUGAAUUUCGGGAUUAGUACGUUGGUCGUGCCUUCGGUACGUACUGGUGUUACUGAUUCCUACCUUCUGACGAACCAUUAUGUCAUUAAUUUGGUGUGGUGGGGAAUCAGGACUGUUACUUUGAAAAAAUUAGAGUGUUUAAAGCAGGCUCGCGCUUGAAUACAUUAGCAUGGAAUAAUGAAAUAGGACGUUGACCCUAUUUUGUUGGUUUCUAGGAUUGACGUAAUGAUUAAUAGGGAUAGUUGGGGGCAUUAGUAUUCAAUUGUCAGAGGUGAAAUUCUUGGAUUUAUUGAAGACUAACUACUGCGAAAGCAUUUACCAAGGAUGUUUUCAUUAAUCAAGAACGAAAGUUAGGGGAUCGAAGACGAUCAGAUACCAUCGUAGUCUUAACCAUAAACUAUGCCGACUAGGGAUCGGAUGAUGUUAUUUUUAAUGACUCAUUCGGCGCCUUACGGGAAAC
rnacentral:rRNA from 1 species